AUCACGGUUUCUUCUGCCCUUAUCGUUUGCAACAAAGCUAAAUAAAUUGUUGAUUACUAAUCAAUUUACGCAGAUGUAAUGAAUACUGUGUUAGUCAAAGUUAAGUAAACUCUAAAGUAAUCUGUAAAAAUCACUUAAAUAAACUGAAAUGACAAUAAUAUAGAGUUAAUAUAAACUAAUAAAAACAUCGUGUACUUAAAAUACUAAAAUAAUUCAGGAAAUAUCUUUGAGACUGGGAAGCCUACAUGUCUGUGUUACCUGGAUCCCCUUUUUAUUGUAUUGGAAUUUUUAGAAGACCUUUAAUUGUGUACCAGGUUUUUUUAAAUUGUUGCACUGGAAGAAUUACCAAUAUAAUAAAUACAAAACUUGAGACUAAUAAGACCCAACUUGAUUGACAACUUGUUUAAACUGUAAAAAUGUAACUGAUAUGAGCUAAGCCUAAAGAAGUAAGUGUAUUUAAAAUAGAAACAACAGUAUACCACAUAAAUUUGUAUUCAUAUUUUUCUGUGCUGUACAGUUGGAGUACUGCAAAGUCGGAGCUGAUUCCGUGCCGUGAAAGCAUCUCCGCCUGUUUCCUCGGGGAAGCCGGGCAUGUGUACAGUUUUAUUUACAUUAACCGCAGCUUGCUAGUUUACGGACCUUUAAGUUAACUACGGUGAGCUUUAAAGGACGAGGAAUGGCAGGCCUUUGGAGAGGCUACCAGGCCUUGAUGACUAAAUACCCCUGGACAGUCCAGAUAGUGACAGCGGGGUCUUUAGUGGGUGUCGGUGAUGUCAUCUCCCAGCAGCUGAUCGAGAGGAGAGGAUUGGCUAACCACAACGUGCAGAGGACGGCUAAGAUGAUGAGUAUUGGUUUCUUCUUUGUGGGCCCUGUCAUCGGCAGCUGGUACAAGGUUUUGGACCGACUGGUUGUUGGAGGAACCAAAAGCGCUGCCAUGAAGAAAAUGCUGGUCGACCAGCUGUGUUUUGCACCGUGCUUUCUGGGAGCCUUCCUCUGCAUCUCUGGCGCGCUGAAUGGACUGACAGUCGAGGAGAACGUCACCAAGCUCAGGAGGGACUACACAGAUGCCCUGAUCUCUAAUUACUAUCUUUGGCCUCCAGUCCAGAUUGCCAACUUCUACUUCAUCCCUCUGCACCACAGGUGAGAGUUUGAUGGCUUCAUUAGCAUGCAGGCAGUGAGCUCUGAUCAUAUUUGAAGGCUGGCUGUCGUCCAGGUCGUUGCUGUUGCUUGGAACUCCUACCUGACCUGGAAGGCCAAUAAGAUGUGAAGGACGCUCACAAGUCCAGCCUGUGUCGUUCUCGCUGAUGAUUAUUUUGCACUCAUUCGUAGUGUGUGUGACAUGGGCGUAACUUACUUUAGGCUACUUAGUCUGCUGGUAUUUCCAAUGUGUAAAGCUGUGACUGAGUCACGCGUAAAGGUCGGGAGAAACGGCUCGUCUACUCCGAGUGACAAAUUCACACAUGAAA